UGAGUUCGGAUUGGUCUGCCAUGUAGCUCACUUCUAUAACAUGAGCGGCUCAGUAUGUGUAAGUAAUCCUUUCUAACUCAGCUUUUUUGAAAGAUAUCACAAAGAACUGCAAAAGUGUUGUUAAUGCUCUCCACUUUCUGGAGGACGGAGUUUGGAAAUCAGUGGAAUGCCCAGUGGAAGCAGAGUAUGAUAGCUAAAGAGAUGGAGAAAAUUCAGGCGUUUUGAUUUCAAAUAUGCUGAGGGAGUCGAAAAGACAACAUGCAUAAGGCUGUUGUAUAAAACACCUAUCUCCAGAUUACAUCUUCAAACUAAGGGCAUCCGUGACAGAGAUGGAGAAGCAUUCAUCCAUGUAUACGGGACCGUGACGUUGCAGUGGUGGGUGAGGGAGAUGCAGGUCUGUGUGCUGCACGUCACAUCCUGUCCCGCCCAGACACCUUUGCACCACCCGUCGCCUACGAGCUCACGGAACACGUGGGUGGCACCUGGUUCUACAAGGAACUUACCGGACCAACUUGCCAAAGGAGGUGAUGAUGUUCCCUGACUUCCCCUUUGACCCCCAGCUUCCUCCUUCCAAACACACCAGGAAGUGCAGAGAUAUCUGGAGAGAUACUGCCAGAGCCACCGCAUCACACCAAACAUCAGGUUCAGCACCGUGGUGGAGGAGGUGAUCCCUGUCACCAUGGCAACAGAGAAGGGACUAAUGUCGACAUGGGAGGUGACUUCACGUGACAAGUCGGGAUCACGUAACACUGAAACGUUUGAU